rnacentral:rRNA from 1 species
AACGAACGCCGGCGGCAGGCUUAACACAUGCAAGUCGAACGCACUCUUCGGAGUGAGUGGCAGACGGGUGAGUAACGCGUGGGAACGUACCUUUCGGUUCGGAAUAACCCAGGGAAACUUGGGCUAAUACCGGAUGCGCCGGAAACGGGAAAGAUUUAUCGCCGAAAGAUCGGCCCGCGUCGGAUUAGCUAGUUGGUGGGGUAAAGGCCUACCAAGGCGACGAUCCGUAGCUGGUCUGAGAGGAUGAUCAGCCACACUGGGACUGAGACACGGCCCAGACUCCUACGGGAGGCAGCAGUGGGGAAUAUUGGACAAUGGGCGAAAGCCUGAUCCAGCCAUGCCGCGUGAGUGAAGAAGGCCUUAGGGUUGUAAAGCUCUUUCAGCGGGACGAUAAUGACGGUACCCGCAGAAGAAGCCCCGGCUAACUUCGUGCCAGCAGCCGCUGU